UACGUAGGGGGCAAGCGUUGUCCGGAUUUAUUGGGCGUAAAGAGCGUGUAGGCGGCCAGACAGGUCCGUUGUGAAAACUCGAGGCUCAACCUCGAGAUGUCGAUGGAAACCGUCUGGCUAGAGUCCGGAAGAGGAGUGUGGAAUUCCUGGUGUAGCGGUGAAAUGCGCAGAUAUCAGGAAGAGCACCCGUGGCGAAGGCGGUUCUCUGGGACGGUACUGACGCUGAGACGCGAAAGCGUGGGGAGCGAACAGG
rnacentral:rRNA from 1 species